UCUGCAUGCAGUGGAUUCUUGAUAUUGGUUGCUGACUGCCUGGGUAGUUUUGCCAGAAGGCAGUUCUAUGAUCUGAGCUUCUAUUGUAACCAAUUACAAUGGGUUUGAAUCUCUCUCCAAUAGUGGCUGCAAUCAAUGUGUAAACUGAUGAUAUCCUCGCCUCCUGAGAUAAAAUUGAUGACAAGCAUGCUGUGUUCCUGGGAAAACUGAAUGCAGUCCUCUGGCUGUAUUGUGAAAUUUGGGGAGGUGAAACAUCAGAAAAUUAGAAAAGUCAAGCACUAAGGUCCUGGUACUGGCUGUUGGCCCCACUGCCCCUGAUAAAGUUUGCAACAUUGGGAUCCUGUGGGAAAUUGCAUGACAGUCCAGUGGAUAGGAUUCGGUGUUCUCACUGCCAGGAGCCCAAGUGUGAUCCCUGGUUGAGGAACUAAUAUCCUGCAAGCUGAAUGGCGUGGCCAAAGAGAGACAAGGUGUGGAGGUGUGGGUCCUAUCUUUUGGAAAUAAGUUAUUGAUAGGGAAUUAAGAGGAAGGGAACUGACAGUGUUGAAUUUGCAAUGCUAUCCUUGGAAUCUUUUCUAUGUCAUCUUAUUUAUUGUGCUUAUACUGCAGUGCCAUGUUUCAUGAUACAGAUUUGGAUCGUCCUUGCCAAAGUGUUGGCUUCUUUUUGAUCUAAUAUAUAGACUGUAUGAUUCAAAAAGUCCUAUACUUUUCUUUGCUGCUAUAACUUCAUCAUCAUGGCCUCCUUUUGGGAUGUGACCUGAGAGUACAACAUCCAUUCAGUCCCCAGUGGUUAGUUUUGAUACCACUCUUUUUGGCUGUUUUCAUAACAUUUAACAAAUCUACUUUAUGUAUGAGGCUAUCACAGGGCACAGAGCAUUAAAGAGAAACAGUGAGACAAAAAAGUAACCUUGGCACUAUUGACUUGAAAUAUUCUCCAAAUACAGCCCCUUUCUGACCUAUAUCUUUCAUGUCUUGGUUCUCUAACUAAUCUUCACUUCAUAGUUCUCUGUGGGCAUACCCUACAUCAAGUUAGAGAUUUCCCUAAGCUUACUUUUCUAUUGAAGGAACUAGUAACUAGAUCUUUUUCUUGCUCUGUAAUUCCUUCUACAGUUUGGAAAAAAGAACAUUUCAAGUCUAGUGGUGUUGAGUCUCAUAACAUGAGCCAUCAUAAAUAUACAGUAAUGGCACCCCACUCCAGUACUCUUGCCUGGAAACUCCCAUGGAUGGAGGAGCCUGGUAGGCUGCAGUCCAUGGGGUUGCUAGGAGU